rnacentral:rRNA from 1 species
GUGAAGCUGGAUUCGCUAGUAAUCGCGCAUCAGCCAUGGCGCGGUGAAUACGUUCCCGGGCCUUGUACACACCGCCCGUCAAGCCAUGGAAGCCGGGGGGUGCCUGAAGUGUGCAGCCGCAAGGAGCGCCCUAAGGUAAAACCGGUGACUGGGGCUAAGUCGUAACAAGGUACC